rnacentral:rRNA from 1 species
AGAUUGAACGCUAGCGGGAUGCUUUACACAUGCAAGUCGAACGGCAGCGCGGACUUCGGUCUGGCGGCGAGUGGCGAACGGGUGAGUAAUAUAUCGGAACGUGCCCAGUAGCGGGGGAUAACUACGCGAAAGCGUGGCUAAUACCGCAUACGCCCUACGGGGGAAGGGGGGAUCUUCGGAACCUCUCACUAUUGGAGCGGCCGAUAUCAGAUUAGCUAGUUGGUGAGGUAAAGGCUCACCAAGGCGACGACCUGUAGCUGGUUUGAGAGGACGACCAGCCACACUGGGACUGAGACACGCCCAGACUCCUACGGGAGCAGCAGUGGGG